GGCAGAGGUUGCAGUGAGCUGAGAUCAUGCCACUGCAUUCCAGCCUGGGCAACAGUGCGAGACUCUGUCUCAAAAAAAAAAAAAAAAAAAAAAAAAAGGCCAGGCAUGGUGGUUCAUGCCUUUAAUCCCAGCACUUUGGGAGGCCGAGGCGGGUGGAUCACCUGAGGUGAGGAGUUCGAGACCAGCAUGGCCAACAUGUCGAAACCCCAUCUCUACUAAAAAUACAAAAGUUAGCCAGGCAUGGUGGUGCGCGCCUGUAGUCCCAGCUACUUGGGAGGCUGAGGCAGAAGAAUCGCUUGAACCCAGGAGGUGGAGUUUGCAGUGAGCUGAGAUCAUGCCACUGCACUCCAAUCUGGGCAACAGAGUGAGACUCCAACUCAAAAAAAUAAAUAAAAUAAAAAUUUUUAAAGAAUAUUUUCCUUUAUUAUUUAUAAUCUGCUUGCUGGGAGUAUUUUCUUUCAUUGUGAGUCUCUUGAGAGCCUUGGAAGAACUGAUCUGACAUUUUUAUAGCUGCAAACACUCAACUGUGUUUUUAUUAUUGAGGCUUCAUUUUCUUGACACCUAAAGUGACUUUAUCUUCCUCUGUCUCAUAUUUUCCUCUCCCUGAAUUGACAUCACCACAACAGGCCUAAGUCCAAUUUCUUUUCCUAUAUACAGGACCUUUUAUCUCUAAGCCAGAUGUGAUUUCCCCAUUGAAGAAAAGGAGAUAGCCGUGAAUGUGUGGAGAGUAAUGUGUUAAGGUGGCUCAAAGAAGAGGGAAGCCAUUGCAGAUAAAUGCUCAGCUGAUAUGAAGAGUCAAAACUUCAAGAUUUUAUUCCACCACUCGAUUAUCCCUUCCCUUUUUGAUGGCCAUUUCACUGCAGCUGGGGUCUAUACAGCUAUAAAGCGGGAGAAAAAAGGAAGCUGGG
rnacentral:lncRNA from 10 species